AGAUGUUGUGGCCUAUGUUGAAGUAUGGUCUUCCAAAGGGACAGAGAAUUACUCAAAGACGUUUACAAAGCAACUUGAGGAUAUGGGGGCAACGGUGUCAAAAACGUUGAACAAGCAAGUGACCCAUGUGAUCUUCAAAGAUGGGUAUCAGAGCACGUGGGACAAAGCCCAGAAGAUCAGGGCAAAGCUGGUUUCCGUCCUCUGGGUUGAAAAAUGCAGGAUGGCUGGAGCACGUGUCGAUGAAUCUUUGUUCCCUGCAGUGAAUACCGAUGAACAUUUACCAAACCUAAUUAGGAGAAAA
rnacentral:lncRNA from 1 species